UACAGAGGUCUCAAGCGUUGUUCGGAUUCAUUGGGCGUAAAGGGUGCGUAGGCGGCGGGGCAAGUCGGAUGUGAAAUCUCAGGGCUCAACCCUGAAACUGCAUUCGAUACUGCCUUGCUCGAGGACUGGAGAGGAGAUUGGAAUUCACGGUGUAGCAGUGAAAUGCGUAGAGAUCGGGAAGAACACCCGUGGCGAAGGCGACGUGCUGGGCUGAACCUGACGCUGAGGCGCGAAGGCUAGGGGAGCAAACGGG
rnacentral:rRNA from 1 species